ACCAAAACCAGUGCUACUAGCUGGGGACCAGGCAUCCUAACACAAGUGUCCAAAACAUUUCACCUUCAAAACACAAAAGAGUCGAAGUGUGGCUCCUCUUGCUGCUUUCUUAAACUUGUUUUCUUUUUAAAGAUUUUAACUUUUUUAAAGGAACACUCAUUUGAGAGAAAGAGAGGACAGAGGAAAAAAAGAGAAGACAGAGAGGGAGAAUCAUGUAUGUAGAUGCCUACAGAAGCCAGACAAGAGCAUCAGAGUCACUGGACAUUGGAGUUACAAGAGAACUUGUUCUAGGUUGUUUGAGGAUCUGUGACUCAGGAACUCUGUGGGGAGAGAAGAAUUUCUUUUGCUUGGCUGAGGUUGCCUGACUGCAACAUAGUUCAGUGUGUACCCACUUUCAGGGUUCUUCUUCACACACAAGCAUUUUAGGCUUAGUGUUCAUGGAGAGAAGGGCUUCGUCAUUCCUGGGGCUCUGUAUUAGGAGAACAUAAAUCUUUUGGUCCUUCUCAUCUUCUCUGCAGCAACCAACAGCAACAUGUUUCUUCUGUUGGUAUCCA
rnacentral:lncRNA from 1 species